rnacentral:rRNA from 1 species
UGGCGGCAUGCUACACAUGCAAGUCGAGCGCGAAAGGGACCUUCGGGUCCCCUGAGAGCGGCGAACGGGUGAGUAACACGUGGGCAACCUGCCUCAAGGACUGGGAUAACUCCGGGAAACCGGGGCUAAUACCGGGCGAUGUCGUCUGGCGCAAGCCGGCCGACCAAAUGGUAGCUUCGGCCUCCGCCUUGAGAUGGGCCCGCGUCCUAUCAGCUUGUUGGUGAGGUAACGGCUCACCAAGGCUACGACGGGUAGCUGGUCUGAGAGGAUGAUCAGCCACACUGGGACUGAGAUACGGCCCAGACUCCUACGGGAGGCAGCAGUGGGGAAUUUUGCGCAAUGGGCGAAAGCCUGACGCAGCAACGCCGCGUGAGCGAAGAAGGCCUUCGGGUUGUAAAGCUCUGUCAGGGGGAAAGAAGGCACCUGGGUUAAUAGCCCAAGGGCUGACGGUACCCCCAAAGGAAGCCACGGCUAACUACGUGCCAGCAGCCGCGGUAAUACGUAGGUGGCGAGCGUUGUCCGGAAUCAUUGGGCGUAAAGAGCGCGUAGGUGGCUUGCCAGGUCUGAUGUGAAAUCCUGGGGCUCAACCCCAGAACUGCAUCGGAAACCGGCUUGCUAGAGUCUGGGAGAGGAGAGUGGAAUUCCUGGUGUAGCGGUGAAAUGCGUAGAUAUCAGGAGGAACACCGGUAGCGAAGGCGGCUCUCUGGAACGGUACUGACGCUGAGGCGCGAAAGCUAGGGGAGCGAACAGGAUUAGAUACCCUGGUAGUCCUAGCCGUAAACGAUGGACACUAGGUGUCGGGGGUGUCGACUCCCUCGGUGCCGAAGCUAACGCAUUAAGUGUCCCGCCUGGGGAGUACGGCCGCAAGGCUAAAACUCAAAGGAAUUGACGG